rnacentral:rRNA from 1 species
GAUGAACGCUGGCGGCGUGCCUAAUACAUGCAAGUCGAGCGAACAGGUAAGGAGCUUGCUCCUUUGACGUUAGCGGCGGACGGGUGAGUAACACGUGGGUAACCUACCUAUAAGACUGGGAUAACUUCGGGAAACCGGAGCUAAUACCGGAUAACAUUUGGAACCGCAUGGUUCUAAAGUGAAAGAUGGUUUUGCUAUCACUUAUAGAUGGACCCGCGCCGUAUUAGCUAGUUGGUAAGGUAACGGCUUACCAAGGCGACGAUACGUAGCCGACCUGAGAGGGUGAUCGGCCACACUGGAACUGAGACACGGUCCAGACUCCUACGGGAGGCAGCAGUAGGGAAUCUUCCGCAAUGGGCGAAAGCCUGACGGAGCAACGCCGCGUGAGUGAUGAAGGGUUUCGGCUCGUAAAACUCUGUUAUUAGGGAAGAACAAAUGUGUAAGUAACUGUGCACGUCUUGACGGUACCUAAUCAGAAAGCCACGGCUAACUACGUG